UUUUUUUUUUUUCAUAUUUUCCAAGGGUUUUGCCAAUGGGUUACAUCUGAUAAUUCAGGAAAGCACACCAAAUAAACACUGUCUUUAAAAGAAAAAGAGAAGUCACUAUUGCGCCCUUCUCACCCCCCAAAAUCUCCGUAGGCCUAGGUUUGAAAUUCAAUUCGCUGGGAACACAGGUGUGCUCGUCAGACAUGCUUUAGCCUCACUAGUUGCCUUGUUAAACUUACCCCUGACUGUAGGUCUCGGGCUCUCCCUGCCCCCUGCCAAGCAGGGCAGGAAGUGUUUGAUCCACGCCUAUUACCAUGCCAGUGUUGGCUACCACGUGGAGAUGAGUGCCAAAAUCUCCCCCAGGGUAGAAGGAGGCAGAGGAACAUCCAUUCUCACCUAUGUGUUUUAUAUUCCCUUUCAAAUCCAAUUCAGUUAAUGUGGUUAUUUGGAUCCCCCGCCCACAGACAGCUGAGCUGGGGAUUAAUGGCUCUCCCCUCUUGUGAUGGCCUUACAAGGUCACACACUACUUUAACGGCUGUUCUGGCUCUGCUCUCACUAAAAUGUUGACUUGGGCCUGAGAGUUGCAUCUUCAGCAUGGCGAGUGUGGUCAUCCACAGCCUCAUCGUCAAGACGCUAUUAAGAUGGAACUCAUGUUUCUCUUUUUUCUUAUGUAUUUAUUUAUUUUUGCUUUUUCGGGCCGCACUCUUGACAUAGGGAGGCUCCCAGGCUAGAGGGUGAAUCGGAGCUACAGCUGCCGGCCUACACCACAGCCACAGCAACACAGGAUCUAAGCUGCGUCUAGGACCUACACCACAGCUCACGGCAACACGGGAUCCUUAACCCACUGAGCAAGGCCCGGGAUCGAACCCGCAACCUUGUGGUUACUAGUCAGAUUUGUUUCCAUGGCAUCACAACAGAACUCCAGAACCCAUGUUUCAUUAGCCAACACUGUCCUUUCUGUUGUCUUUAUUUAAAAGCAGUCAUAGCUACAAAAGAGCUAAAUAGGAGCUCAUUGAAUCACCUCUUCAUGGUGAUGGGGGGUGUAGGGAAUUAAAUGCUAAUCCCAUUUUUCCCUUUAUUUUAGGGUAUACUAAUGAGGGGAAAAAAAAACAAAAACAAAAACUCCAUCACGGGGGUCCCUAGGUUUGACUGAAACCAAUUUCACACUGGAAAUCAGGCUCUAAGGUUAAAGCAGCUAGAUCUUUUCCAUUUUCACUGCAGCCCUGUUUCUAACCUUGACCCCAAAUUGAGGCAGAUUCCAGGCAUAACUGGCAUACUUGGGUUUGUCUGGGUGAAUUAAAUGGUCAAAUAGUAUUAGCCAAAUUCCUACACAUGUGCAGCCCCAUACCUGAUGUGCCAAAUAGCUAAGGAAAAAGAGUUGGAUCUGCUUACAGAGUCUACAACCUAAUUGUGGAGAGGGUGGUUUGAUAGGAUAUGAAGAAUGGGAUGGUCUAGGAAGCAGAAUUAGGGGAUGUGGGCUGGAGAUGAUGCAGUGCUCAGCAAACAUUUUCUUAAAGAGCCAGAGAGCAAAUAUUUUAAGGCCACGAGGCAAAAAGUAGGCUAUUAUGGAAGUACUUAUAAAACCAUUUAAAAUAUAAGGCAAAUGUAGAAAUCAUACUCCCUUAGGGCCAUUAAAAAAACAAACAAACAAACAAAAAAGCCAGGCUGGUCUUGGACCUUGGGCCUCAGUUUGUGGACCCCUGGCUAGGACAGCAGGCAGAGCCGAUAGCUAAGAGCAAAGGAGCCUCAGUUCCAGUUCUUUCCAUGUGAUUUUAAUGUAAGUCAUUUUUUUCUUCUAUAAAAAGGAGGAAAUAGGAGGUAUCUUUGAUUAUCACACUGUUUUCAAAGAUCCAAUGAGGACAUAAAUGUGAGGAAUUAUAUCAAUUAAAACUUUCUAACCAAUGCAAAGUAUAAUCAUGGUGAACCCUGCUCUUGGGAAACUUACGACUAAGAUCCAUCAAGAAAAAUCUGGCAUUGGUCCUCUCGAUGAAGAAUGGCCACCAGUGAUUACAACGUAUGCUCCAUAUUCUGACCUACAGAAUGAGAGGAGGGUACACUCCAUAAUGAGGACCGUGGGGAAACAGCACUGCAAUCCCCACCCACCACAAUCACCCCCACUGAGGGACAGAGAUGGGCAAAAUGUGAGCAAAUUGGCUUUAAGCCUUAAGAGAAUUUUUCGUCCAUGAAUCCUACCUAUAGUCCCUCUAGUUUCCUGUCAUUUUGUUCUUGAAGCUGGCUCCAUGUCCCAACUGAAUCUAAAAGAGAAGUCUUCACCAAGCUCCCCCAGCUUUCCGGGGUGCACAGCAAAGUUUAAAUUGUGCUUGGCCUUAUAAUAUUUGUACACAGUAGGCAGUAACUCCUUGUGUGUAGAAUUUAAUUCAGCUGACUCUCUCUGCUCUGAAGGAGCAUUACAAAGAUGGGCAGGUGACACCACGAAUUCAGUUUCAGAAAUUACUGAAAGGAGGAAAACAGUGAUGCUGCUUUUCAUUUUGAUGACACUGAAAACAUUUCUCCCACGCUAAAUAUUUGUUAAUGUUAACAGUCCAAAGCAGGUGGCAACAUUUUUUUUUUCCUAAAUGUCUUCUUAGGGCCACACUGUCAACAUAUGGGAAAUCCCAGGUUAGGGGUGGAAUCAGAGCUGCAGCCAUUGACUUAUGCCACAGCCACAGUAAUGUGGGAUCCGAGUUGCCUCUGUGACCUACACCACAGCCCCUGGCAACGCUGGAGGCUACAGCUCCACCUGGACCCCUAGACUGAGAACCUUCAUAUACUGUGGGUAUGGCCCUAAAAAGACAAAAAAAAAAAAAAAAAAAAAAAAAGAUGUGAUACUGUGUGUUUGUCAGCUUUGGGUCCAUAAACAGGGUUCUUUCUUUAUGGCUUUGGGUUCCAGAUUUAAUAAGCAUUCAAAGAUAUUUUGUCAACAAAAUGAAACAACUUUAAGUGUACAAAACAGAGAGUUCAGCGAUGAAAACUACCGACUGAUUAUACAUAUAACUGGAUUUAUUGUUAGUAUUUUUCUUAUCCCUUUGGUUCCAUCUUCCAUUUAUUUUCUCCUUAGCAUUUGCAGAGGCCCCAAUUUCAUAAAUUGCAGCAAUAACCACCUUACUUCCUAUUACCCUUAAACCUCAUAUCAACCUGAGGUUUCUCUCCUCUAAAUUGGCACAGACACCUCUGUGUUUCCAGGCUGGAUGUGCACAAGCUGCAAUGUUCAUUCUGGUAGAAACACAGACAUUUGGAAUGGCUCCUGUAAAAAUCUCUGACUUCAAGCCUUCUCAGAAGUGAGAAGACAGGUUAGGACACAUGACUGGCCCAUCGUCAUCAUCCCGCCAUCAUUUGAUUUCUGCAUCAUACAACCAAUUGAUUCCUCAUAACCACCUACAGAAUGUGCGUGUACCGCUUGCAGUGUUUAAUCCCCGCCUGUGGAAAACACAUGAUCAAGAUAAAUUCGAAUAUGUGACACUUCCUCCAUCUCAAAAAAUAAAAGGAUCAAUUUUAAGCCCUUCAUUACAAUCCCUAGGAGGAGCACAAGGGAAAGUGAAUGUGCUGCCAACAAUGCAAAGGAGUUUUCCUUUCGAAUAUCCUGAUUUAAAGAGAGACUAUAAGCAGCCUCAACUGGAAGCACCCACAUGAACAGUUUUAAAUGAAAACUUUAAAAAAAACAAAAACAAAAAAAGAUUCAGAUUGUGGAUUUUACCCUCAGCCAUUGGAAGGCUGCGUAACAGGAAAAUCAUAGGUAGACUGAUAGGAGAGGAAGGGAGGGAGGAAGGAAAAGAGAAAAAGACGAAAGGAAAAGGCGGAAGGAAGGAGACGGGAGAGGAGAGGAAUCUUAUAAAGACAUUGCUGCCUACUUCGGGAGUAUCAGAAAGAUAGGGGUACGUAACUUGUUGAAGAAAACCUUCUAGAGAUGCCAGAGAAGAGUGGUACAUCUCCAAACCAGAUCAAGCUAAACCCUGAUUUCAUUCUAGUCCACUGUGUAGAAAGAAGAGAUUCCUUAAAAUCCUUAGGUUUUGAAAACCCCAGACUCAUGACUUCAACUGAUCAAUCUGAAAUGUAUACAUAUGAGUGGAAAAUGUGUAAAUAUGUAUAGUGGUGGCGGUGGGAUCAUCGGGCAGUGGGCUCCUGGCUGUGGACACUCUGGAUCUGAGCACUGCUUUCCAGGGAACCGUGUCCCUCAUUCCUCACCACUGCAGCUGGACCUGAAAAGACCCCACCCCAUCUCGUGAGAGAAAACAAAAGCAGGAUU
rnacentral:lncRNA from 1 species